ACGGAGGAUCCAAGCGUUAUCCGGAUUUAUUGGGUUUAAAGGGUGCGUAGGCGGACUGAUAAGUCAGCGGUGAAAGUUUGCGGCUCAACCGUAAAAUUGCAGUUGGUACUGUUAGUCUUGAGUAUAGGGGAGGUAAGCGGAAUUCGUGGUGUAGCGGUGAAAUGCUUAGAUAUCACGAAGAACUCCAAUUGCGUAGGCAGCUUACUAUACUAUAAAUGACGCUGAGGCACGAAAGUGUGGGUAUCAAAAAU
rnacentral:rRNA from 1 species